rnacentral:tRNA from 1 species
GCCCGGGUGGUGGAAUUGGUAGACGCAGAGGACUCAAAAUCCUCCGCUCCAAAAGAGCUUGCGGGUUCGAGUCCCGCCCCGGGCA